rnacentral:lncRNA from 1 species
UCUUUUUUUCUUUUUUUUUUUGAGAGAGAGAUAGGUAGCACGCUAUCCGUUUCGUUUAUUUUAUUUAGAAAUAAACUUAGUUGGAAAUGUGAAUCAAUUAGGAUUCAAACUUGGGUCCCAAGUACUAACCACCAAGCUCUUUGCCACUUGCUCUAAGGACGGUUGGUAUCGGAGCAUCUUAUUGUGUAUUGCAAGUAAGGAAUCACUGUUUGUGUAGAUACUGACCGUCCCUAGAGCAAGUGACAAAGGGUUUGGUAGUUGAUACUCAAGGUCCCAACUUCGAAUCCUAAUUGAUCCACAUUUUCAGCUAAAUUUAUUUCUAAAUAAAAUAAAUAAAGCAAAUAGCA